UACGGGGGGGGCAAGCGUUGUUCGGAAUUACUGGGCGUAAGGGCUCGUAGGCGGCCAACUCAGUCAGACGUGAAAUCCCUCGGCUUAACCGGGGAACUGCGUCUGAUACUGCUGUGGCUAGAGUCCGGUAGGGGAGCAUGGAAUUCCUGGUGUAGCGGUGAAAUGCGCAGAUAUCAGGAGGAACACCAGUGGCGAAGGCGGUGCUCUGGGCCGGAACUGACGCUGAGGAGCGAAAGCGUGGGGAGCAAACAGG
rnacentral:rRNA from 1 species